GACGGGUGAGUAACGCGUGGGUACUUGCCUCUCGGUACGGGACAACCCCGGGAAACUAGGGCUAAUACCGUAUAUACCGAUUUUGGUGGUUCUUAAUCGGGAAAGAUUUAUCGCCGGGAGAUAGACCCGCGUCCGAUUAGCUAGUUGGUGUGGUAACGGCGCACCAAGGCUUCGAUCGGUAGCUGGUUUGAGAGGAUGAUCAGCCACACUGGGACUGAGACACGGCCCAGACUCC
rnacentral:rRNA from 1 species